UACGUAGGGGGCGAGCGUUGUCCGGAUUCAUUGGGCGUAAAGGGCAAGUAGGCGGCUUGGCAAGUCGGAUGUGAAAACUCUGGCUUAACCCAGAGACGCCAUCCGAUACUGCUAUGGCUAGAGUCCGGUAGGGGACCACGGAAUACCUGGUGUAGCGGUGAAAUGCGCAGAUAUCAGGUGGAACACCAAUGGCGAAGGCAGCUCGCUGGGACGGUACUGACGCUGAGACGCGAAAGCUAGGGGAGCAAACGGG
rnacentral:rRNA from 1 species